rnacentral:rRNA from 1 species
AUGUACACGCCUACAAAAAAAGGUUAAUGCAGUGGAUCCCAUUAGAACUACGCAGUUAAGCGUGCUUAGGAUAGAGUAGUACUGGGAUGGGUGACUAUCUAAGAAGUCCUAGUUUUUUACAUG